rnacentral:lncRNA from 1 species
UCAUGCUUGUAGAACACAAGGAAACGAUUUUUUUUUAACUUAUACAAGUGUGAGCAAACGUACUAAGUGGCACUGCUGUGGGAUACAAGCAACAGGUGAGCAGUUAACUCUGAGGAAGGGCACAUCUCACAUUGGUUAGGGCUGGAUUACUGGUAGUGUUGCAUAAAGCUAUGCAUUUGAAGCUUUUUAUGGUCAUCGAAUAUGCCUAUUAUUUCUCAACACAAUUUUGAUCCUUGGGCUCCAGCCUUGCAUUCCUCUGAUCUCAGAGUGUCUGCAAAAAGAUUAUUGGGUCCAUUACUACCAACUGAGAGAGAUUUGGGAAGAGAAUAUAUUUUCAGUACUAUCUGUAUAGGCCAUACUUAUUUUUACCUCUCUAUACAUUUAUAUUUAUCAAAUCUCCUUAUCAUAAUCAUGCUAUUACAAAAUUAGUUCAAAGGGGGCAGGCAAUUUUUGAGCCCAAUUUUAUUUCCUUUCAUUAUUUCUUAAUCACCUUUUUAAAAAACUGGCCAGUUGAGAUGAGAAAAUUGACUUCUGGCAUUUCUUAAUUCUAUCCUCUGAUUUUAUUUAAGUGAAACCUUCACCCGCCUUUUUUUUUCCUGACCAGAAAGAAAAAUGUGUCAAGUAUGAAUGUAUUCAUAGAACUGUUUAUAUUUUGAAUUACUUUAAGAUCUUUCCUCUGGGUUGUACUGUUAACAAAAUAGAAGUUAUCCAACACCAUUAGUUCCGACCAUCCCCUUGUGAAGCAGGAAAAGAAGUAACAGAGAGCCAUCCAUCUCCAGCUGAGGUGUGGAAGUGGUGCCUUAGCAUGAUCUACUGAAGGGCAAAGAGCUCCUCCAAGCAGAAGGUGAUGUACACAAGAGUACUCUUGGUGUAGGUGACAAGUGAAAGAAGACAUGGAGAGAUCACAAAAGGAGUAGACAAUUUCACUGCAGCCAGAUUCCCAGUGGAGCAAGGACUGUGGAAGACACAGUUCAAUGCCUUAGAAGAAUCAGGGUAGUGUUCUUAACACUGUGCUCUGGAUACAGGCUUGUGACUAAUUCCAGGUAAUAUGGUCAUGUGGUCACAUCCUUCCAUAUGGGUCUUAUGGCAAGUGAUAAAGAGGUUCAAGGCGUAGACUGGAGCUAGACUCGAUUUGAGGUCUGCCUCACAGUCCAACCAGUGAUACGUGGCCUUAAUUUCAUUGGGUCUCAAUUUCUUCAUCUUUACCUGCAAGACAGGAAUCUUGAGAUGUUCGUUUUAAUUUUAGAACUCAUGGGCAUGUCUAAGUAUAUACUGUUAUUAUUCCAUCACUCAUAGGAAUAUCCAAAACGUGAGAGAAGCCCCUUUUCCACAGUUCUGUUUUAAUGACUUACAAAAGAGCUCAUUCACUCAUUCCACAAGUGUCUAUUGAACACAUAAAAGUUUCAGGCACUGUGUUAGGCAGUAGUAAUUGUCAACCUAAAAGGCAAGUUGAAGCACACUGAGUACAAGAACAAAGUUUAUUUUAACUAAAGUCAGGAUGGAUGCCUACUGGACAAAAAGCUCAAGUUUUAGUUGCCCAGAAUAAGCUAAAGUUUAAAGGUUAGAACUAACCACAUCAUGAGACUUUGGGAUCCAGGAGGGCAUGACUGCUGACCCAUAACCCAUGUUCACCAGUCCUGAUAGGAGUUUGCUGACCCCUUUCUUUUAUUUAUGUAUUCAUAGUAUAGCAGUGCAAGACAAGAGCACAAGCCUGACCCUUGCAGAGUUCAAAGACAUCAAGUGGGUAGGCUGCCUGGGUGACCUCAGCUGGCCAACCCACUCCCUGCUCUUUCUGCAAACUGUAUUAUACAUUAUCCUGUGUCAUCUUCUCAGCACCCCAGGCUCCAGUGCCAAAAAUAGCCUAUUUUUAAAAUUAUUUUUUAUCUUCCCAGAUCUCAUUUCAGAUCCAAGUUGAUGGACAAGGAUGACCUCAGCUUUUCAUUCCUAGGUCAACACCAAGAAGUGGGCUUUCUCUAACUGGUAAUAUCAGUAUGUUGAAAUAGCAAACAUGAAAACUCUCAUGCCGUAGACUAAGAUAUGAAGACUAAAGAACUGCUCAGUGCUUUGACUGCAUCCCUUGCGUGGCUUGUACUAUUCCUCUAAUGAGCAUAGAGCUGUGUUGUUCUAUGCCUGGUGAUGGCUGGCGUGUCCACAUCUUCACUGAUAAGGGAAAUGCUGUCAUGCACACCAGUGAUGCAGAGCCCUGGGCUGUUGGAAUAGGUGCCCAAGGUCCCAAGGACAGCCAUAACUUGUUUCUCUUCUUUAUCACUCACUUGUUUCUUUUUACCAGGAGAAACAUUCCAGGGCCAAUCUAUUCCACCAAGGGACUUCAGCACAGACCGUCAUGGACCCCUCUGUAGUUUAUGUUCUGUUAGAAUGUGCUCAUUCCUCUCUCAGGAACCCCACUCCCCAAGGCAGCCUCACCUGAGCUGCUUCUCACCUCUUUUCCUUCCCAGACAAAACCACUCUAAGAUUUCAUCUCACUUCAGUCAGAAUGGCAGCUAUUAUAAGUGUUGGAGAGGAUGUGGGGAGAAAGGUACACUCAUAUAUUGCUGGUGGGACUGAAAAUUGGUGCAGGCAAUAUGGAAAGCAGUAUGGAGAUUUCUUGGAAAAUUGGGAAUGGAACCACCAUUUGACCCAGCUAUCCCUCUCCUCUGUCUAUACCCAAAGGACUUAAAAACAGCACACUACAGGGACACAGCUACAUCAAUGUUUGUAGCAGCACAAUUUACAAUAGCUAAACUGUGGAACCAACCUAGAUGUCCUUCAAUAGAUGAAUGGAUAAAAAAAUGUGGCAUAUAUACACAAUGGAAUAUUACUCAACAAUAAAAGAGAAUGAAAUCAUGGCAUUUGCAGGUAAAUGGAUGGAGUUACAGAAGAUGAUGCUAAGUGAAGUUAGCCAAUCCCAAAAAACCAAAUGCCGAAUGUUUUCUUCCAUAUAGGGAGGCUGAUUCAUAGUGGGAUAGGGAGCGGGAGCAUGGGAAGAAUAGAUGAACUCUAGAUAGGGCAG